rnacentral:rRNA from 1 species
CAAUAGCGUAUAUUAAAGUUGUUGCAGUUAAAAAGCUCGUAGUUGGAUUUCUGCUGAGGACGAUCGGUCCGCCCACUGGGUGAGUAUCUGGCUCGGCCUUGGCAUCUUCUUGGAGAACGUUGCUGCACUUGACUGUGUGGCGCGGUAUCCAGGACUUUUACUUUGAGGAAAUUAGAGUGUUUCAAGCAGGCGCACGCCUUGAAUACAUUAGCAUGGAAUAAUGAGAUAGGACCUUGGUUCUAUUUUGUUGGUUUCUAGAGCUGAGGUAAUGAUUAAUAGGGAUAGUUGGGGGCAUUCGUAUUUAACUGUCAGAGGUAAAAUUCUUGGAUUUGUUAAAGACGGACUACUGCGAAAGCAUUUGCCAAGGAUGUUUUCAUUGA